rnacentral:ncRNA from 1 species
GGUGAGGCUUCCUGUCCGUUAUUAAUGGAGGCACUCGGCUAUGCUGUGGGAUUAUUCUAUGUCCUUAGACACGUUCGUUGUCAGUGGUAUGGUGUGAGGGUGGGUUAGAUGCCC